AUGUUGCUGUGCCAGGAUGAGGCCGCUGAGAUCCUCCAGCCAGAGCCGGGGCGACAAUGCGCUUCGCAGCGACCCUUCCCUCCAGGAGGCAGCAAGGGCUCUUCCUCGGCCUGCAGCGGACAGGGCGGCGGCCCAGGAGCCUCGGGCCCCACCCCAAGGCCGAAGGCGCCAGGCGCUCGGCCGCCCCGUCCUUCGCAUCACUCCCAGGGAUCCUCCCCUUCGCCCGCACGCCGAGGCCGAGGCACCGGCUGCUUCAGCACUUCCGGGUCGGCGGAGAGAGCGCUGCGUGACGUUGCCGGAGCGUUCGGGAGCCUCGCGCCUGUUAUUGUUCCUGCUUCCCUCGCUCUCUCCCCCACCCCCGCCCGCCUUCCCACCGGCGUGGGAGGCUCGCUGAGGGAAGCUGUCAGAAGCCCGAGGGCGGUUGGAAGGAGCUGGAGGAGGGGGGCCCGCUGCCAACGGUUUCGAACCUUCCGUUGCGCGAGCCCUGACAGCGAGGGGCGGGGGAGUGCGCGCCGCGUCACCAAGCAGCAAGCAGCCCUAGCAGGAGGCGCAGGAAGGCGGCGGCGGCGGCGACUGGAAGGACAUGGCCUACGCGUAUCUCUUCAAGUACAUCAUAAUCGGGGACACAGAUUCAGAAGAUCAACAUAAUCAUCCUCAAUGGAGAUAUCCUACCAGUCUUCCAAGAGCAAAGAGCUGUGAUAAUUACCACAUGCAUCUCCCUUUGAGAAGUCACACCCUGCCUCAGUUCUGGGAAUAGAUUGACUGCUGCUCAAGUCAAUUUUCUCACAGCAGUGCUCCUUGGAGGAAUUUUAAGAGGGUCUGUCAUGUCUCUGGUACCCUCCUCUUCCAUCAAGCUGGAAAAUUCCAGAUUUAACCAUGCCUCAAGUACAAUUCCAAACUGCACCAAAGUCAACUCUCCCCUCUCCUUUAAUAACUUGGAGUGUUUACUAGCCUACAUUGCAGGAGAUCCAUUGAAGCAGGUAACAUGUUUCAGUGGCUUUUGGAUGAAUUGUAUAAAGAAGCUGGUUAUAUGUAGGUCAUGGAAUUCUUAUUUAAGGCUUAUGUAUAAAACCAUAUUUAUUAUCUAUUACUGUAUAACAUAGGAUUGGGCUGUGCAUGCAUAUCGGCUUCAUAGCACUUGAUCUUAAAACAGAGAAUGUCUGAAUUCUUGAUAGGAAACUUCUACCUCUGGGGUUGUUGUUUUUUUAUCUUUGAGGUGUAACUCAUGCAAGUUGCCAUUUUAUGUUAUUGUUGACAGAUGAUUCACAUGCGUAUGCAAACCAGCCCUUUCAUGUACAAAUAUAUGAAGCCCAAAAGUUUCCUUGUGAAAGUGGCAUGUGGUAGGUCCUUGCAGGAAUUAAAUACAUUUUUAGCUGGAAAUUUGGUUGUUAUGCACAAACUGUCUGUUCCUGACAAAAAGUUAUAGCUGUUUGGUCCAUUGCUAGCAUAGUUUCUACGCUAGAGCUUGGGCAUUCAUGAUUCCUACAUAUCAUAGUUUCUUAGAUUUGUCAUUGCUUACGUUUACCUGUCUUGGACUGAGAAAGCAGUUCUUUCACUUCUACUGAGGGCUAUUUGAAUCACAGUCCUGGUUUGAAGUUCUCUCAGCAACACCUGAGCUAUGUGCUAUUUAUCUUGUGAACCACCCUGAGAUCGUUGGAUGAAGGCCAUAUAUAAUAAUAAUAAAAUGUUGCAAGAGGUAAAACCACAAAAGUCUUGUGAAAACAAGUGUCCUACCUUGCAUCAUAUUCUGAUGUAAAAUACCUGUUUAACUUACAUUUAAAACUAUCAAGAGUGGCAAGAAAUUGUUUCUUAAGUUUUUCUGGCUAGAAAGAAAUUGAGAAUAAAUAAAAUAUAAGGAAGAAAAGCCUGUAAGAAGAGAGGAUUUGUAAUCUCUUAUUUAGAAUAGUAAUAUGAAGCAGGUAUUUUGACACGGGUGGUGCAGUGAAUGAUGAAAGAGUGCACCUUGUACUUCACUAAUAUUACACAUAAUAGAAGAUGAGUGGUCCACUUAUGAUUCUUUCAUGCCAAAUUUUAAGGUCACCUAUAUAACUAAAAAAAUUAGAGAAAAUAAGAACUUGGGAACAGAUGAAGGAACAAAUGAUAGCACCACCUUUAAAUACAUACAAAUAAAAAGUAUUCUAAGUGGACUGAGACAAAUACAGGAAGCGAGAACCUUAAAACAAUUUGAAAGGUUAACAGGGAAUGGCACAGUUAAAUGGUUUUCAACUUUAUGUCAAGUUAGUUAAUGCAUAAACAUUCAGAGACAAAACUUAAUCAUAUGAUGAAAUGGGAAAGAGAAUUGCAAACAGAAAUUUAGGAGAAAGUAUGGAAAUGCCUAUUUGGAGUAGGAACCAAAUUCAUGUCAGCCAUGAAUUUUAGAGAAAAUUGCAGGAAAAGCGUGGUGCAAUGGCUUUGGAUCCCUUGGAAAAGCAGAAUGAUUUCAUACAUAUGAUGGAAAUGAUAUUGGUUAUAAAAUGACAUAAUUUGUCAUUAGGCUUUGCAAAGAGUCCACUAUUAUGUUUGUUGAAUUACAUCAAUGAUUCAAGAACACCAAAGA
ensembl:lncRNA